UACGGAGGGUGCGAGCGUUGUCCGGAAUCACUGGGCGUAAAGGGCGCGUAGGUGGCCCGUGGAAGUCUGCGGUGAAAGUCCGGCGCUCAACGCCGGAUCGGCCGUGGAUACUCUCGGGCUUGAGCUUACUAGAGGCAGAUGGAAUUCCGGGUGUAGCGGUGGAAUGCGUAGAGAUCCGGAAGAACACCGGUGGCGAAGGCGGUCUGCUGGGGUAAUGCUGGACACUGAUGCGCGACAGCGUGGGGAGCAAACAGG
rnacentral:rRNA from 1 species